UUUAAAUGCAUGUAAGAAAUUCAGUACCUCAUGUUGAAAAUGCAGAGAGUACUUUGCAGGAUUUUAGAUGCUGUAUAAAGUUUCUCAGUGUUUGAUGAUAUACUGAGUUUGAUCUACACAGCCUUCUCUAGUCUGGGAUCUUCCUGUUCCAAGGUCCACCUCUUCCACCUUGCUGGGACUAGUAAUCUUCAGCAGAAAGGAAAAGAAAUAAAAUAGUGCUCCAUGAAGGACUACUUGAAAUAA